rnacentral:rRNA from 1 species
AGAGUUUGAUCAUGGCUCAGAUUGAACGCUGGCGGCAUGCUUUACACAUGCAAGUCGAACGGCAGCGCGGGCUUCGGCCUGGCGGCGAGUGGCGAACGGGUGAGUAAUGCAUCGGAACGUACCCAGUCGUGGGGGAUAACACAUCGAAAGAUGCGCUAAUACCGCAUACGUCCUGAGGGAGAAAGCGGGGGACCUUCGGGCCUCGCGCGAUUGGAGCGGCCGAUGUCAGAUUAGCUAGUAGGUGGGGUAAAGGCCCACCUAGGCGACGAUCUGUAGCGGGUCUGAGAGGAUGAUCCGCCACACUGGGACUGAGACACGGCCCAGACUCCUACGGGAGGCAGCAGUGGGGAAUUUUGGACAAUGGGGGCAACCCUGAUCCAGCCAUGCCGCGUGAGUGAAGAAGGCCUUCGGGUUGUAAAGCUCUUUCGGCCGGGAAGAAAUCGCGUCCUUUAAUAGAGGGUGUGGAUGACGGUACCGGACUAAGAAGCACCGGCUAACUACGUGCCAGCAGCCGCGGUAAU